CAGUCGGCUCGUUCAACGCGGUCGAUCCAAAUCGGAGGCCCAUGAAGUGGAAGUGGCUUCUCAAAUCAAUAGCUUCUUUUCAGGCGAUGGCGCCGAUGCCGUUCGUAUGACGCACAGGCAGAGCAGUCGGCUCCUUGCUUGCGGGCGAUGGAUGUUUGGAUUCUCUUGUGGACCCGGCCCACCACCUGAGGAACGACUCCUCUUCUGUUCGUUUGGGCAGAUUCGCAUUCAUGGUCUCCAAACUGAAACCGCCGGCGUCCUAAUCAUGGUGGUUAAAGUUGCGAUCCUCUCCCUCCUGUGAUUAUGGUGAUUAAUCUCAGCGUUAUUUUCAGUUAUCUUCUGUCCUUGAUAUAUAAGGUGCAGAGAGCAAUCGUCUCCAGACUCCAGAGCACAGUGUCCUCUUCUCCCUCCACGGUGAACUUAUUCCUUCCUCAUGUGUUAGGAUUCGUAGUGUCCAUAGCCACUGCAUCCUAUAGGCAAAGCGAGAGCUCGUUGUAUCUCGGUUGACCACUGAUUGGCACAUGACAAUAUCAUAUGUUUGUCAGCAGGAGACGCAGCCUGAGAAUGAAGGAAAGAUGCCAGUUUCAGAUGAUGCAUCUUGAACAAUCCGGGAAGCCCUUCUAUGUGCUACUCAAGUGUGAGAUGGAGCUUGGCUCCAGGACGGACGCCUUCCAAUUCACAUUAUAUUCGUUGAUGUCUUCAUUGUAAGUCAGCUUAUUUUGAAGUUUCUGGUAAAAUCCUUUGUCAGUGCUUGCGUACAUCCCCUACCCAAACCGGAUGGGGAGGAUAAGACAUGUAUGUAGCUGUGGGAGCACAAAUUUUUCAUCAUCUCCUACAUAGUUAGAAUUUGCUGUGCAUCAUGUGACAUAAUGUUUUUUUCACAUUCAGACACUCUUUGCAGCAUGGAUCCUAGCGUUCCUAUAGUUAAAUUAGAAACUGUUAGACUAGGAGCAAUUUGGUAAAUGCAUUGCGGUAGGUAAUAUAUCCUGAAUGCAACUAGAUCUAAGAAUUUGUUCGAUACCAUGAGUUUGUUUAGUUCUUGGAUUUCUUUGUGUGCUAAAUUGUAUUCUAUUCCUUCUUGGACUGCUCACUUUAUUUAUCCUUUGUGUGGUGAAAGGCUGGAUGAAUGGAGUCAAUUAAUUAAGUAAAGGAUAAGUAAAAGCCGAAUGUUAGUGCCCCCAA